rnacentral:rRNA from 1 species
GCAUAUCAAUAAGCGGAGGAAAAGAAACUAACAAGGAUUCCCCUAGUAACGGCGAGUGAAGCGGGAAGAGCUCAAAUUUGUAAUCUGGCCCUUUCAGGGUCCGAGUUGUAAUCUCGAGAAGUGUUUUCCGCGCCGGACCGCAUACAAGUCUGUUGGAAUACAGCGUCAUAGUGGUGAGAGCCCCGUAAUUGAUGUGGAUGCCCGGUGCUUUGUGAUACACUUUCGAAGAGUCGAGUUGUUUGGGAAUGCAGCUCAAAUUGGGUGGUAAAUUCCAUCUAAAGCUAAAUAUUGGCGAGAGACCGAUAGCGAACAAGUACCGUGAGGGAAAGAUGAAAAGCACUUUGGAAAGAGAGUUAACAGUACGUGAAAUUGUUGGAAGGGAAACGCUUGAAGUCAGACUUGCUAUUCGGAAUUCAGCCGCAAGGUGUACUUUUCGAUUUGCAGGCCAGCAUCAGUUUUUGGGGGUGGAAAAGGGUGGAGAGAAGGUAGCAACCUUGGUUGUGUUAUAGCUCUUUACUGGAUUCAUCUUUGGGGACUGAGGAUCGCAGUGCGCAAUUUACUUUGCAAACCUUUCGAGGUUUUCGUACUUAGGAUGCUGGUGGAAUGGCUUUAAACGACCCGUCUUGAAACACGGACC